rnacentral:ncRNA from 1 species
UCCGUUGGGGUGCCAUAAGGCUGAGAAGCGAAUGCUGACCCAUCGAACCUGAACCGGAUAAUGCCGGCGAAGGAAACG